rnacentral:rRNA from 1 species
GUCUAUGGCCAUACCACCCUGAACUAGCCCGAUCUCGUCUGAUCUAGGAAGCUAAGCAGGGUCGUGCCUGGUUAGUGCUUGGAUGGGAGAAAAAGAAAUAUUUGCAAACCAAAAAGA